ACACGUUACAAUAAAUGAACAGUUAGUAGAUAUCUUUACAAAAGCUCUAAAUGGACCUCGGGUGGACUAUCUUUGUAACAAGUUGGGCAUGAUUAACAUUUAUACUCCAACUUGAGGGGGAGUGUUAAGGAUUAGUUGUAAAUAGAACUCUGUUAGGAGUUAGAUUCCUAAUAGGUUUAUAGUAUCUUGUAUAUGUAUAUAUAUAUGUGUCCCUAUUGAUGAAAUACAAGUAAGAAAAUAUUUUUCCACAUUAAAUUUCACAAUCAUCAUCACAAUUUGAAAUCUCACAAUCAUCAUCACAAUUUGAAAUCUCACAAUCAUCAUCACAAUUUGAAAUCUCACAAUCUAUUUUUCCACAUUAAAUUUCACAAUCAUCAUCACAAUUUGAAAUCUCACAAUCAUCAUCACAAUUUGAAAUCUCUGGAGCAGUAACUACAAGACUAGGAUGCGAUCCAGAAGCAUUCAGUGAAACAGGGGGAACAUCAGACUGAGCAGAUGAAACAGCUGGU
rnacentral:lncRNA from 1 species